AGCAUAUCAAUAAGCGGAGGAAAAGAAACUAACAAGGAUUCCCCUAGUAACGGCGAGUGAAGCGGGAAGAGCUCAAAUUUAAAAUCUGGCGGUGUAUUCCGUCCGAGUUGUAGUCUAGAGAAGCAUCAUCCGCGCCGGACCAUGUACAAGUCUCUUGGAACAGAGCGUCAUAGAGGGUGAGAAUCCCGUCCUUGACAUGGACUCCCGGUGCUUUGCGUUGUGCUCUCGACGAGUCGAGUUGUUUGGGAAUGCAGCUCAAAAUGGGUGGUAAAUUCCAUCUAAAGCUAAAUAUUGGCGAGAGACCGAUAGCGAACAAGUACCGUGAGGGAAAGAUGAAAAGCACUUUGGAGAGAGAGUUAAACAGUACGUGAAAUUGUUGAAAUGGAAACGAUUGAAGUCAGUCGCGUUCUCUGGGAUUCAGCCUUGCUUCUGCUUGGUGCAUUUCCUAGUCUACGGGCCAGCAUGGAUUUCGACCGUUGGAAAAAGGCUGGGGGAAUGUGGCACCUUCGGGUGUGUUAUAGCCCCUUGUCACAUGCAUCGGUUGGGAUCGAGGACCUCAGUGCACGCUUCGGUUGUGCUUUGAUGCUGGCGUAAUGGCUUUAAACGACCCGUCUUGAAACACGGACCAAGGAGUCUAACAUGUCUGCGAGUGUUUGGGUGAAAAACUCGGACGCGCAAUGAAAGUGAUAGUUGGGAACCUUUCACGAGGGGCACCGACGCCCGGACCAGACCUUCUGUGACGGAUCCGAGGUAGAGCAUAUAUGUUGGGACCCGAAAGAUGGUGAACUAUGCCUGCAUAGGGUGAAGCCAGAGGAAACUCUGGUGGAGGCUCGUAGCGAUUCUGACGUGCAAAUCGAUCGUCAAAUGUGGGUAUAGGGGGCGAAAGACUAAUCGAACCAUCUAGUAGCUGGUCCUGC
rnacentral:rRNA from 1 species